AGAUUGAACGCUGGCGGCAUGCCUUACACAUGCAAGUCGAACGCGAAAGGGGGGCAACCCCCGAGUAGAGUGGCGAACGGGUGAGUAAUACAUCGGAACGUAUCCAGUAGCGGGGGAUAACCUCUCGAAAGAGAGGCUAAUACCGCAUACGACCUACGGGUGAAAGAGGGGGAUCGCAAGACCUCUCACUAUUGGAGCGGCCGAUGUCGGAUUAGCUAGUUGGCGAGGUAACGGCCCACCAAGGCUACGAUCCGUAGCGUGGUCUGAGAGGACGACCAGCCACACUGGAACUGAGACACGGUCCAGACUCCGUACGGGAGCCGAG
rnacentral:rRNA from 1 species